ACGGGAGGCAGCAGUGGGGGAUAUUGCACAAUGGGGGAAACCCUGAUGCAGCGACGCCGCGUGAGUGAAGAAGUAUUUCGGUAUGUAAAGCUCUAUCAGCAGGGAAGAUAAUGACGGUACCUGAGUAAGAAGCCCCGGCUAACUACGUGCCAGCAGCCGCGGUAAUACGUAGGGGGCAAGCGUUAUCCGGAUUUACUGGGUGUAAAGGGAGCGUAGACGGCAGGGCAAGUCUGAUGUGAAAGCCCGGGGCUCAACCCCGGGACUGCAUUGGAAACUGUCCGGCUAGAGUGCAGGAGAGGUAAGUGGAAUUCCUAGUGUAGCGGUGAAAUGCGUAGAUAUUAGGAGGAACACCAGUGGCGAAGGCGGCUUACUGGACUGUAACUGACGUUGAGGCUCGAAAGCGUGGGUAGCAAACAGGAUUAGAUACCCUGGUA
rnacentral:rRNA from 1 species